rnacentral:rRNA from 1 species
AUGGCGUGGGAGAGCGCGGUGCAGACACUCGACGAAGGCGGCAAGGCGUUCACCAAGGGGGCAGAGAUUCUACGGCAGUUCGCCUCCGUCACGGAGGCGGAAGUUGCGGCGGGGAAGCCGGUGCCCGCGAGGGAGUUCGACGCCGUGGCCGCGCUCGCCGAGGAGACCGCCCUCCGGCUGCUCGACAGGGCGGCCAAGGAGGCGGAGGCCGGCGAGCAGACCGCCGCGGCGUUCGUGCGUAGGCCGGGGGCCAAGAAACUGGCGGAGGCGCGCCGCAGGCACGCCGCGUCCGCCGCCGGGCUGAGGACGCAGGCCGCGGAGUUCGCCGCUUUCAGGCGCCGGAUGGCCUCGCUGCCGGUCGUGGAGGAGCUGGAGAGCUCGGAGUUGGGGCCGCGUGGAGGCUCGACGGCGGGAGUAGAAGGAACCGAACGCAAGGAAGCAAGAACAAGGAAGCCCAACGCCAGAUACCUCGAGGACGAGUGGAGCUCCUGA